rnacentral:rRNA from 1 species
GACGAACGCUGGCGGCGUGCUUAACACAUGCAAGUCGAACGCUGAAGCCCUGGCUUUUGUUGGGUUGGAUGAGUGGCGUACGGGUGAGUAACACGUGAGUAACCUGCCCUCUUCUCUGGGAUAACGCCCGGAAACGGGUGCUAAUACUGGAUAUUCACUGAUCUUCGCAUGGGGGUUGGUGGAAAGGUUUGUUCUGGUGGGGUAUGGGCUCGCGGCCUAUCCGCUUGUUGGUGGGGUGAUGGCCUACCAAGGCUUUGACGGGUAGCCGGCCUGAGAGGGUGACCGGUAAAAUUGGGACUGAGUUACGGCCCAGACUCGAGCGGGAGGCAGCAGUGGGGAAUAUUGCACAAUGGGCGAAAGCCUGAUGCAGCGACGCCGCGAUAGGGAUGGAGGCCUUCGGGUUGUAAACCUCUUUCGCUCAUGAUCAGGCCGCAACUGGGGGUUGUGGUGAGGGUAGUGGGUAAAGAAGCGCCGGCUAACUACGUG